GGUAGAUAUGAUGAAGUCUAGGUCCAACAUACAAGGUAGAUAUGAUGAAGUCUAGGUCCAGCAUACAAGGUAGAUAUGAUGAAGUCUAGGUCCAACAUGCAAGGUAGAUAUGAUGAAGUCUAGGUCCAACAUGCAAGGUAGAUAUGAUGAAGUCUAGGUCCAGCAUACAAGGUAGAUAUGAUGAAGUCUAGGUCCAGCAUGCAAGGUAGAUAUGAUGAAGUCUAGGUCCAGCAUACAAGGUAGAUAUGAUGAAGUCUAGGUCCAGCAUACAAGGUAGAUAUGAUGAAGUCUAGGUCCAACAUACAAGGUAGAUAUGAUGAAGUCUAGGUCCAACAUGCAAGGUAGAUAUGAUGAAGUCUAGGUCCAACAUGCAAGG